rnacentral:rRNA from 1 species
GAUGAACGCUGGCGGCGUGCCUAAUACAUGCAAGUCGAGCGAACGGACGAGAAGCUUGCUUCUCUGAUGUUAGCGGCGGACGGGUGAGUAACACGUGGAUAACCUACCUAUAAGACUGGGAUAACUUCGGGAAACCGUAGCUAAUACCGGAUAAUAUUUUGAACCGCAUGGUUCAAAAGUGAAAGACGGUCUUGCUGUCACUUAUAGAUGGAUCCGCGCUGCAUUAGCUAGUUGGUAAGGUAACGGCUUACCAAGGCAACGAUGCAUAGCCGACCUGAGAGGGUGAUCGGCCACACUGGAACUGAGAUACGGUCCAGACUCCUACGGGAGGCAGCAGUAGGGAAUCUUCCGCAAUGGGCGAAAGCCUGACGGAGCAACGCCGCGUGAGUGAUGAAGGUCUUCGGAUCGUAAAACUCUGUUAUUAGGGAAGAACAUAUGUGUAAGUAACUGUGCACAUCUUGACGGUACCUAAUCAGAAAGCCACGGCUAACUACGUG